rnacentral:tRNA from 1 species
AUGGAAAUCUCUGUAAUUUAGAUAGAUAGGGCGGAUGUACCCAAGUGGAUCAGGGCAGGGGAUUGUGAAUCCCCCA